UACGUAGGGCCCAAGCGCUAUCCGGAAUCACUGGGCGUAAAGCGUGUGUAGGUGGCGAUUUAAGUGUGGUGCGAAAUCCCUCGGCUCAACCGGGUGGACUGUGCCGCAAACUGAAUUGCUAGAGGUCAUCAGAGGUUAGUGGAACUGGCGGUGUAGGAGUGAAAUCCGUAGAUAUCGCCAAGAACACCAAUGGCGAAGGCAGCUAACUGGGAUGCACCUGACACUGAGACACGAAAGCGUGGGGAGCGAAUGGG
rnacentral:rRNA from 1 species